rnacentral:rRNA from 1 species
UACAGAGGGUGCAAACGUUGUUCGGAAUUACUGGGCGUAAAGCGCGUGUAGGCUGCUCUGCAAGUCGGAUGUGAAAGCCCUGGGCUCAACCUAGGAAGUGCACUCGAAACUGCAGAGCUUGAGUCCUGGAGAGGAAGGCGGAAUUUACGGUGUAGCGGUGAAAUGCGUAGAUAUCGUAAGGAAGACCAGUGGCGAAGGCGGGUCUCUGGACAGUUCCUGACGCUGAGGCACGAAGGUCAGGGGAGCAAACGGG